CCGGCUGCGGGCCAGGGUCUGGGAAGGGGGUGGUGGGUCGCCGUUUCAUCAGAAGCCGGAGGACGGGCGCCAGGGGGCAACUUCCUACAGGAGGGCGUCCCGUUAGAAUGACAGGGCUUUUGCAAAAGUCUGACACCCGUGGCACAGAGCGCCCCAGAUAUGGAGGGUUUCACAGACAGGGUCGCAGCCGGGCAGAGGUGCUCCUCACAUCCCAGACGGGGCGGCGGGGCAGAGGCGCUCCCCACAUCUCAGACGAUGGGCGGCAGGGCAGAGACUCUCCUCACUUCCUAGAUGUGAUGGCGGCCGGGAAGAGGCUCAUGUGUGGCUUCUUCAGUCCUCUCUUCAUUCACUCAUGUAUUCAUUUAUUCAACGACAUAUUACUAAGGAACCUCCUUAAGCCGGGAUGCUGAACGUGGAAAAAUAGUUGACUCUUGAACAAUGUGGGGGCUUGGGGCACCAACCCCCUGUGCAGUUGAAAAUCGACAUAUAACUUUGACUCGCCAAAAACUUCACUACAAUAGCCUGCUGCCAACCUGAAGUCUUACCAAUAACAUCAACAGUCAAUUAAACAUAUUACGUAUGUUAUAUGUAUUCUAUGCUGUAGUUUUACAAUAAAGUAAGCUGGAGAAAAGAAAA
rnacentral:lncRNA from 10 species